AGAGUUUGAUCCUGGCUCAGGAUGAACGCUGGCGGCGUGCCUAACACAUGCAAGUCGAGCGAUCUUCUUCGGAAGAGAGCGGCGGACGGGUGAGUAACGCGUGGGUAACCUGCCUCAUACACAUGGAUAACAUACCGAAAGGUAUGCUAAUACAAGAUGAUAUAAGAGAUUCGCAUGGAUUUCUUAUCAAAGCUCCGGCGGUAUGAGAUGGACCCGCGUCUGAUUAGCUAGUUGGUAAGGUGACGGCUUACCAAGGCGACGAUCAGUAGCCGACCUGAGAGGGUGAUCGGCCACAUUGGAACUGAGACACGGUCCAAACUCCUACGGGAGGCAGCAGUGGGGAAUAUUGCACAAUGGGCGAAAGCCUGAUGCAGCAACGCCGCGUGAGCGAUGAAGGCCUUCGGGUCGUAAAGCUCUGUCCUCAAGGAAGAUAAUGACGGUACUUGAGGAGGAAGCCCCGGCUAACUACGUGCCAGCAGCCGCGGUAAUACGUAGGGGGCUAGCGUUAUCCGGAUUUACUGGGCGUAAAGGGUGCGUAGGUGGUUUCUUAAGUCGGGAGUGAAAGGCUACGGCUCAACCGUAGUAAGCCCUUGAAACUGGGAAACUUGAGUGCAGGAGAGGAAAGUGGAAUUCCUAGUGUAGCGGUGAAAUGCGUAGAUAUUAGGAGGAACACCAGUAGCGAAGGCGGCUUUCUGGACUGUAACUGACACUGAGGCACGAAAGCGUGGGGAGCAAACAGGAUUAGAUACCCUGGUAGUCCACGCCGUAAACGAUGAGUACUAGGUGUCGGGGGUUACCCCCCUCGGUGCCGCAGCUAACGCAUUAAGUACUCCGCCUGGGGAGUACGCUCGCAAGAGUGAAACUCAAAGGAAUUGACGG
rnacentral:rRNA from 1 species